AAUGAACGCUGGCGGCAGGCCUAACACAUGCCAGUCGAGCGGAAGAACGGCGCUUGCUACUCGAUUCAGCGGCGGACGGGUACGUAAUGCCUACAAAUCUGCCUGGUAGCCAGGAAUAAGGUCCGGAACCGGGCCCUAAUACCUCAUACCUCCUAAUGAAGACAGGGGGGGAUCUUCGGGCCUCACGCUAUCACGUUAGCCUAGGUCGGAUUAGCUAGUUGGCGGGGCAAAGGCCUACCAGGGCAACGAGCCGUAACUGGGCCGAGAGGAUGAUCAUUCACACUGGACUGGAACCACGGUCCCGACUCCUACGGGAGGCAGCAGUGGAGAAUAUUGGACACUGGGCGAAAGACUGGCCCAACCAAGCCGCGUGUGUGAAGAAGGUCUUCGGAUGGUAAAGCUCUUCAAGUUGGGAGGACGGGCAGUAAGGUAAAACCUUGGUGUUUUGACGUUACCAACAGAAUAAGCACCGGCUAACUUCGUG
rnacentral:rRNA from 1 species